rnacentral:rRNA from 1 species
UACGUAGGAUCCAAGCGUUGUCCGGAUUUACUGGGUUUAAAGGGAGCGUAGGCGGAUCUUUAAGUCAGUGGUGAAAGCUCUCAGCUUAACUGGGAAACUGCCAUUGAAACUGAAGAUCUCGAGUAUGGUUGAGGUUACUGGAAUGUUGCAUGUAGCGGUGAAAUGCUUAGAUAUGCAACAGAACACCAAUUGCGAAGGCAGGUAACUAAGCCAUAACUGACGCUGAGGCUCGAAAGCGUGGGGAGCAAACAGG